rnacentral:rRNA from 1 species
UACGGGGGGGGCAAGCGUUGUUCGGAAUUACUGGGCGUAAAGGGCUCGUAGGCGGCCCUCUCAGUCGGAUGUGAAAUCCCCAGGCUCAACUUGGGAACGGCAUCCGAUACUGGAGGGCUUGAAUUCGGGAGAGGGAUGCAGAAUUCCAGGUGUAGCGGUGAAAUGCGUAGAUAUCUGGAGGAAUACCGGUGGCGAAGGCGGCAUCCUGGACCGAGAUUGACGCUGAGGAGCGAAAGCUAGGG